UAAAAGUGUUGAAAAUAUUUUAUAAAUCUAGUUAAAAUAUUUUUUUUGAAAAAUAAUAUGUGUAACUAUUUUUUUCAAAAUUAGACAAUACAACACAUACAUUCGCAACGCACGCACACUCACCCUCUAUGAGUACACAUACGUAAAUCCUACCCCUAUAAACACCUUCGAGAAACUGAACCGGCAGAUCACGAAAUUCACGGAGAGACAUUGCAAAUUGGGUUUGCCUAUGUCAGACCAGCCUUCGCGGGAUGUCAAAGUAGUCAUCGUGUGGUACUGUUAGAUUUCGGUUUGGACAUCAGGGAUUUUGGAUGUUCAUUUUGGACAUUAGGGACUUCGGAUGUGCAUGGCGUUAGUGCUGACCCAAGUAAAGUAAGGCCUUUUUUACUGAUUUAAUCUUACCAGUAUGUAUUGGGUUUGCUAAUACUUGUGAAUAUUCUGAUAAAUAUUGUAACUCCACUAGUAAUGGCGCCGUGUGUCAGAAUUGAUUGAUUCUAGUUCGAAUUGUAUAUGCAAGUUCCACUGCUCUUUUCUUUUUCUUCUACAAUUCAUAACUGACAUGCUCUACCUCUGCUGCAAAACUAUUUCUAUGCCAUUUUAUAUUCUUGUGUUAGCCACCUGUUCAUAUCAAUACUUUUCUCUUUUCACCCAUUGUGGGCGCAUCAAUGUCUAACUCAAGAAACGCUACUGAUUUGGGGCUUGUUUAGAUUCCCCGUCACAUCGAAUCUUUAGACGCAUGCAUUAAGUAUUAAAUAUAGACGAAAAUAAAAACUAAUUGCACAGUUUGAUCGGAAUUGACGAGACGAAUCUUUUAAGCCUAGUUAGUCCAUGAUUGGACAAUAUUUAUCAAAUACAAACGAAAAUGCUACGGUACCCAUUUUGCAAAAAAAUUUGCAACUAAACAAGGCCUUGUUUUGAUUCGAAGUCUUGGUCAACUAUCAUGCUUAUAGUUAGUAGUGAAUUCCAGGAGAUGCCUGAUUGAAUAAUUUGGAGAUGUUUGAUGGAACAGAGAACAGAAUGCAUACCAAUCUAGUCAUACGUUCGAUUCUAUUUCCAUUUUUGACAGUUCAGAUAUUUUGGACCUGAGGGGAACCCUAUUUUCAUUCAUACUCCCUCCGUCCACGGAUACUAGGCGCAACUAGAUUUUUGAGGUGUCCACGGAGAAUUUUUUUUAUUUUUAGCCCAAAUUUAAAACAUAUUUCAAAUUUGAUCCGCUUAUGAAAAUAUUUUCAAAACUAGACCGUUUGGACCCGCCACCAUGCAUG
rnacentral:lncRNA from 1 species